GACGAACGCUGGCGGCGUGCUUAACACAUGCAAGUCGAACGGUAAGGCCCUUCGGGGUACACGAGUGGCGAACGGGUGAGUAACACGUGGGUGAUCUGCCCUGCACUUCGGGAUAAGCCUGGGAAACUGGGUCUAAUACCAGAUAGAACUCCUGGCUUCAUGGUUGGGGGUGGAAAGCUUUUGCGGUGUGGGAUGGGCCCGCGGCCUAUCAGCUUGUUGGUGGGGUGAUGGCCUACCAAGGCGACGACGGGUAGCCGGCCUGAGAGGGUGACCGGCCACACUGGGACUGAGAUACGGCCCAGACUCCUACGGGAGGCAGCAGUGGGGAAUAUUGCACAAUGGGCGCAAGCUUGAUGCAGCGACGCCGCGUGAGGGAUGACGGCCUUCGGGUUGUAAACCUCUUUCAGCACCGACGAAGCGCAAGUGACGGUAGGUGCAGAAGAAGGACCGGCCAACUACGUGCCAGCCGCCGCCGUAA
rnacentral:rRNA from 1 species